GUGGGGUUUCUCAUACAGUCCAAU
rnacentral:siRNA from 1 species